rnacentral:rRNA from 1 species
GGGUUGUGAGGUUAAGCGACUAAGCGUACACGGUGGAUGCCCUGGCAGUCAGAGGCGAUGAAGGACGUGCUAAUCUGCGAUAAGCGUCGGUAAGGUGAUAUGAACCGUUAUAACCGGCGAUUUCCGAAUGGGGAAACCCAGUGUGUUUCGACACACUAUCAUUAACUGAAUCCAUAGGUUAAUGAGGCGAACCGGGGGAACUGAAACAUCUAAGUACCCCGAGGAAAAGAAAUCAACCGAGAUUCCCCCAGUAGCGGCGAGCGAACGGGGAGGAGCCCAGAGUCUGAAUCAGUGUGUGUGUUAGUGGAAGCGUCUGGAAAGGCGCGCGAUACAGGGUGACAGCCCCGUACACAAAAAUGCACAUACUGUGAGCUCGAUGAGUAGGGCGGGACACGUGGUAUCCUGUCUGAAUAUGGGGGGACCAUCCUCCAAGGCUAAAUACUCCUGACUGACCGAUAGUGAACCAGUACCGUGAGGGAAAGGCGAAAAGAACCCCGGCGAGGGGAGUGAAAAAGAACCUGAAACCGUGUACGUACAAGCAGUGGGAGCACGCUUAGGCGUGUGACUGCGUACCUUUUGUAUAAUGGGUCAGCGACUUAUAUUCUGUAGCAAGGUUAACCGAAUAGGGGAGCCGAAGGGAAACCGAGUCUUAACUGGGCGUUAAGUUGCAGGGUAUAGACCCGAAACCCGGUGAUCUAGCCAUGGGCAGGUUGAAGGUUGGGUAACACUAACUGGAGGACCGAACCGACUAAUGUUGAAAAAUUAGCGGAUGACUUGUGGCUGGGGGUGAAAGGCCAAUCAAACCGGGAGAUAGCUGGUUCUCCCCGAAAGCUAUUUAGGUAGCGCCUCGUGAAUUCAUCUCCGGGGGUAGAGCACUGUUUCGGCAAGGGGGUCAUCCCGACUUACCAACCCGAUGCAAACUGCGAAUACCGGAGAAUGUUAUCACGGGAGACACACGGCGGGUGCUAACGUCCGUCGUGAAGAGGGAAACAACCCAGACCGCCAGCUAAGGUCCCAAAGUCAUGGUUAAGUGGGAAACGAUGUGGGAAGGCCCAGACAGCCAGGAUGUUGGCUUAGAAGCAGCCAUCAUUUAAAGAAAGCGUAAUAGCUCACUGGUCGAGUCGGCCUGCGCGGAAGAUGUAACGGGGCUAAACCAUGCACCGAAGCUGCGGCAGCGACGCUUAUGCGUUGUUGGGUAGGGGAGCGUUCUGUAAGCCUGUGAAGGUGUGCUGUGAGGCAUGCUGGAGGUAUCAGAAGUGCGAAUGCUGACAUAAGUAACGAUAAAGCGGGUGAAAAGCCCGCUCGCCGGAAGACCAAGGGUUCCUGUCCAACGUUAAUCGGGGCAGGGUGAGUCGACCCCUAAGGCGAGGCCGAAAGGCGUAGUCGAUGGGAAACAGGUUAAUAUUCCUGUACUUGGUGUUACUGCGAAGGGGGGACGGAGAAGGCUAUGUUGGCCGGGCGACGGUUGUCCCGGUUUAAGCGUGUAGGCUGGUUUUCCAGGCAAAUCCGGAAAAUCAAGGCUGAGGCGUGAUGACGAGGCACUACGGUGCUGAAGCAACAAAUGCCCUGCUUCCAGGAAAAGCCUCUAAGCAUCAGGUAACAUCAAAUCGUACCCCAAACCGACACAGGUGGUCAGGUAGAGAAUACCAAGGCGCUUGAGAGAACUCGGGUGAAGGAACUAGGCAAAAUGGUGCCGUAACUUCGGGAGAAGGCACGCUGAUAUGUAGGUGAAGCGACUUGCUCGUGGAGCUGAAAUCAGUCGAAGAUACCAGCUGGCUGCAACUGUUUAUUAAAAACACAGCACUGUGCAAACACGAAAGUGGACGUAUACGGUGUGACGCCUGCCCGGUGCCGGAAGGUUAAUUGAUGGGGUCAGCGCAAGCGAAGCUCUUGAUCGAAGCCCCGGUAAACGGCGGCCGUAACUAUAACGGUCCUAAGGUAGCGAAAUUCCUUGUCGGGUAAGUUCCGACCUGCACGAAUGGCGUAAUGAUGGCCAGGCUGUCUCCACCCGAGACUCAGUGAAAUUGAACUCGCUGUGAAGAUGCAGUGUACCCGCGGCAAGACGGAAAGACCCCGUGAACCUUUACUAUAGCUUGACACUGAACAUUGAGCCUUGAUGUGUAGGAUAGGUGGGAGGCUUAGAAGUGUGGACGCCAGUCUGCAUGGAGCCGACCUUGAAAUACCACCCUUUAAUGUUUGAUGUUCUAACGUUGACCCGUAAUCCGGGUUGCGGACAGUGUCUGGUGGGUAGUUUGACUGGGGCGGUCUCCUCCUAAAGAGUAACGGAGGAGCACGAAGGUUGGCUAAUCCUGGUCGGACAUCAGGAGGUUAGUGCAAUGGCAUAAGCCAGCUUGACUGCGAGCGUGACGGCGCGAGCAGGUGCGAAAGCAGGUCAUAGUGAUCCGGUGGUUCUGAAUGGAAGGGCCAUCGCUCAACGGAUAAAAGGUACUCCGGGGAUAACAGGCUGAUACCGCCCAAGAGUUCAUAUCGACGGCGGUGUUUGGCACCUCGAUGUCGGCUCAUCACAUCCUGGGGCUGAAGUAGGUCCCAAGGGUAUGGCUGUUCGCCAUUUAAAGUGGUACGCGAGCUGGGUUUAGAACGUCGUGAGACAGUUCGGUCCCUAUCUGCCGUGGGCGCUGGAGAACUGAGGGGGGCUGCUCCUAGUACGAGAGGACCGGAGUGGACGCAUCACUGGUGUUCGGGUUGUCAUGCCAAUGGCACUGCCCGGUAGCUAAAUGCGGAAGAGAUAAGUGCUGAAAGCAUCUAAGCACGAAACUUGCCCCGAGAUGAGUUCUCCCUGACCCUUUAAGGGUCCUGAAGGAACGUUGAAGACGACGACGUUGAUAGGCCGGGUGUGUAAGCGCAGCGAUGCGUUGAGCUAACCGGUACUAAUGAACCGUGAGGCUUAACCUUACAACGCCGAAG